GGAUGCGAGCAUACCAGCACUAACACACCGGGUCCCAUCAAACCUCUGAAGUUAGGCGUGUUUGGACGAGAGUAGUACUAGAAUGGGUGACCCCCUUGGAAGUCCUAGUUUUGCAUGCC
rnacentral:rRNA from 1 species